rnacentral:rRNA from 1 species
GUGAGGAAUAUUGGUCAAUGGGCGCAAGCCUGAACCAGCCAUCCCGCGUGCAGGAAGACGGCCCUAUGGGUUGUAAACUGCUUUUCCGGGGGGAGAAUUUUUCCGUCGUGACGGGAAUUGACGGUACCCCGGGAAUAAGCAUCGGCUAACUCCGUGCCAGCAGCCGCGGUAAUACGGAGGAUGCGAGCGUUAUCCGGAUUUAUUGGGUUUAAAGGGUGCGUAGGCGGAAUGAUAAGUCAGUGGUGAAAACCUGCAGCUUAACUGUAGACUUGCCGUUGAUACUGUCAGUCUUGAGUGUGGUCAAGGUAGGCGGAAUGUGUAAUGUAGCGGUGAAAUGCUUAGAUAUUACACAGAACCCCGAUUGCGAAGGCAGCUUACUGGGCCAUUACUGACGCUGAUGCACGAAAGCGUGGGGAUCGAACAGGAUUAGAAACCCGGGUAGUCC